rnacentral:rRNA from 1 species
UACGUAGGGGGCGAGCGUUGUCCGGAAUUACUGGGCGUAAAGGGUGCGUAGGCGGCCGUUUAAGUUGGAUGUGAAAUACCCGGGCUUAACCUGGGGGGUGCAUUCAAGACUGGACGGCUAGAGUGCAGGAGAGGGAAGCGGAAUUCCUAGUGUAGCGGUGAAAUGCGUAGAUAUUAGGAGGAACACCAGUGGCGAAGGCGGCUUUCUGGACUGUAACUGACGCUGAGGCACGAAAGCGUGGGGAG